rnacentral:rRNA from 1 species
UACGUAGGGUGCAAGCGUUGUCCGGAAUUAUUGGGCGUAAAGGGCUCGUAGGCGGUCCAUCUCGUCGGGAGUGAAAAGCUGGGGCUCAACCCCAGUCCUGCUUCCGAUACGGGUGGACUAGAGGUAUGCAGGGGAGAACGGAAUUCCUGGUGUAGCGGUGAAAUGCGCAGAUAUUGCUCGGAAGGCCAGAGCCGAAGGGGCCCUAUUGGUACGUAACUGACGCUGAGGCACGAAAGCGUGGGGAGCAAACAGG